AUCCCUGUAGGGCAACGGAUAGCGCGUUGAACUGCUAAUCCAAAGGUCUUGGUUUAUAAUACCACCUGGGAUG